rnacentral:snoRNA from 1 species
UCAGUCUGAAAAUGAUCUCAGAUCGAACAGUGAUGUGCGGUCAGAUAACUGAGCCUAAAGUAUUGUGGCACAUUUAGCUUAUCACCCUGCUUGCUUGGUUGUGGAGUGAUAAAACCCAUGUGCCAACAAAA